AUUGAACGCUGGCGGCAGGCCUAACACAUGCAAGUCUGGCGAGCGGCGGACGGGUGAGUAAUGUAUGGGGAACUGCCUGAUGGCGGGGGAUAACUACUGGAAACGGUAGCUAAUACCGCAUACCAUCAGAUGAACCCAUAUGGGAUUAGCUUGUAGGUGAGGUAAAGGCUCCCCUAGGCGACGAUCCCUAGCUGGUCUGAGAGGAUGAUCAGCCACAAUGGGACUGAGACACGGUCCAGACUCCUACGGGAGGCAGCAGUGGGGAAUAUUGCACAAGGGGCGCAAGCCUGAUGCAGCCAUGCCGCGUGUAUGAAGAAGGCCUUCGGGUUGUAAAGUACUUUCAGUCGGGAGGCGUUACCCGCAGAAGAAGCACCGGCUAACUCCGUGCCAGCAGCCGCGGUAAUUC
rnacentral:rRNA from 1 species